UCAUACAUAGCUCAGUUGGUUAGAACGUGGUGCUGAUGAUGCCAGGGUUGCAGGUUUGAUCCCCAUAGUGGGAU
rnacentral:tRNA from 1 species